rnacentral:rRNA from 1 species
AUUGAACGCUGGCGGCAUGCUUUACACAUGCAAGUCGAACGGCAGCGCGGGCUUCGGCCUGGCGGCGAGUGGCGAACGGGGGAGUAAUGCAUCGGAACGUGCCCAGUAGUGGGGGAUAGCCCGGCGAAAGCCGGAUUAAUACCGCAUACGACCUGAGGGUGAAAGCGGGGGACCGAAAGGCCUCGCGCUAUUGGAGCGGCCGAUGUCGGAUUAGCUAGUUGGUGGGGUAAAGGCUUACCUAGGCGACGAUCCGUAGCUGGUCUGAGAGGGCGACCAGCCACACUGGGAGUGAGACACGGCCCAGGCUCCUACGGGAGGCAGCAGUGGGGAAUUUUGGACAAUGGGGGCAACCCUGAUCCAGCCAUGCCGCGUGCGGGAAGAAGGCCUUCGGGUUGUAAACCGCUUUUGUUCGGGAAGAAAUCCUCUGGGCUAAUACCCCGGGGGGAUGACGGUACCGGAAGAAUAAGCACCGGCUAACUACGU